UUUUUUUCCGAAUCAGAAGAGUUGAAUAAGAGCUUGGCGUUGAUUUUCAUAGUUGGAAACUGCAAGUGGUCUCUCUACUCUUAGGUGCUAAUUAGCAAUUCUAGAUUACCAUUGCAUUUAUGUUGUGCUCAGGCCUCAGGGCAACAAAAUUAUAACCUCAAUCAUGCAUUUUGAUUGAUGAAUACUUGUGCUGCUGAUGAUUGCAAGCUGCAAGAUGUUAAUAAAGCACUGGACCGUCUUACAAAGUCAAAAGAGGCAGCUUUACUUGACGCUGAGAGAACCGUGCAAAAGCUUCUAUGGUGGAUGACCUUCAGAACAAGAACCAAGAGUUGAUGAAACAGAUAGAAAUAUGCCAGG